CGGAUAGCUUGCUAUGCGUGUGUGGUUGUGUGUGGAUUGAUGUGGGUUUUAACUUGUUGCCGUUCGGGACGUUGACGAAAUGGAGCGAUUUGACCCGUCUUGAAACACGGACCAAGGAGUCUAACAUGUGUGCAAGUGUUAGGGUGUGGAAACCCCAGCGCGAAAUGAAAGUGAAGGGCAGCGUAAGUUGUCUGAGGUAGGAAAUGCUGCGGGCUUCGGUCUGCGGUGUGGCACUAUCGACCGAUCAUGAACCUUCGUGGUGAAAGAUUUGAGUUUGAGCACAUAUGUUGGUACCCGAAAGAUGGUGAACUAUGCCUGAGUAGGGUGAAGCCAGGGGAAACUCUGGUGGAAGCUCGUAGCGAUUCUGACGUGCAAAUCGAUCGUCAAACUUGGGUAUAGGGGCGAAAGACUAAUCGAACCAUCUAGUAGCUGGUUCCCUCCGAAGUUUCCCUCAGGAUAGCAGUGUUGAACUCAGUUUUAUGAGGUAAAGCGAAUGAUUAGGGACUCGGGGGCGCUAUAUUGCCUUCAUCCAUUCUCAAACUUUAAAUAUGUAAGAAGCCCUUGUUA
rnacentral:rRNA from 1 species